UACGGGGGGAGCAAGCGUUGUUCGGAUUUACUGGGCGUAAAGGGCGCGUAGGCGGCCUCCGCAAGUCAGUUGUGAAAUCUCCGAGCUUAACUCGGAAAGGUCAACUGAUACUGCGGGGCUAGAGUGCGGAAGGGGCAACUGGAAUUCUUGGUGUAGCGGUGAAAUGCGUAGAUAUCAAGAGGAACACCUGAGGUGAAGACGGGUUGCUGGGCCGACACUGACGCUGAUGCGCGAAAGCCAGGGGAGCAAACGGG
rnacentral:rRNA from 1 species